UACAGAGGUCUCGAGCGUUAGGCGGAAUCACUGGGCUUAAAGCGUGUGUAGGUGGAUCGUUAAGUACCUUGUGAAAUCCCACGGCUUAACCGUGGAACUGCUUGGUAUACUGGCGGUCUUGAGCCAGCUAGGGGCUACCGGAACAAAUGGUGGAGCGGUGAAAUGCGUAGAUAUCUGGAGGAACACCGGUGGCGAAGGCGGCAUCCUGGACCGGUAUUGACGCUGAGGCGCGAAAGCCAGGGGAGCAAAGCGGG
rnacentral:rRNA from 1 species